rnacentral:lncRNA from 1 species
AAGGAAAGAGCUCUUCACUUCCUGUGUAGGUAUUUUAAAAGACUAUUCUGAGACAGAGAUGGGAGGUCCUGGAUUCACAUCUGGCCUCAGACACUUCCCAGCUGUGUGACCCUGGAUGAAGAAACUGAGGCACCAAGAGGCAUGAGAAGCAGUAUCAUCCUGGUAAACUAUCUCAGCAGAAGGGCUAAACUAGAUUGAGGGUAACCAACAGGCCCCAAACUCAACCGUGAAUUAGAGGGGUAUCUACUCAAGGCAUGUG